rnacentral:rRNA from 1 species
GGGCCCGCACAAGCGGCGGAGCAUGCGGAUUAAUUCGAUGCAACGCGAAGAACCUUACCAAGGCUUGACAUAUAGAGGAAAAGUGCAGAAAUGCACUCCCCGCAAGGUCUCUAUACAGGUGGUGCAUGGUUGUCGUCAGCUCGUGUCGUGAGAUGUUGGGUUAAGUCCCGCAACGAGCGCAACCCUCGUCCUAUGUUGCCAGCACGUAAUGGUGGGAACUCAUGGGAUACUGCCGGGGUCAACUCGGAGGAAGGUGGGGAUGACGUCAAAUCAUCAUGCCCCUUAUGUCUUGGGCUUCACGCAUGCUACAAUGGCCGGUACAGAGGGAAGCAAGACGGCGACGUGGAGCGGA